rnacentral:rRNA from 1 species
UCUUCGGAUGAAAGCAGGGGAUCGCAAGACCUUGCGCGAAUUGAAGCGGCCGAUGGCAGAUCAGGUAGUUGGUGAGGUAAAGGCUCAUCAAGCCGUCGAUCUGUAGCUGGUCUGAGAGGACGAUCAGCCACACUGGGACUGAGACACGGCCCAGACUCCUACGGGAGGCAGCAGUGGGGAAUUUUGGACAAAUGGGCGAAAGCCUGAUCCAGCCAUGCCGCGUGCAGGAUGAAGGCCUUCGGGUUGUAAACUGCUUUUGUACGGAACGAAAACGGCCUUUUCUAAUAAAGAGGGCUAAUGACGGUACCGUAAGAAUAAGCACCGGCUAACUACGUGCCAGCAGCCGCGGUAAUACAUAGGGUGCAAGCGUUAAUCGGAAUUACUGGGCGUAAAGCGUGCGCAGGCGGUUAUGUAAGACAGUUGUGAAAUCCCCGGGCUCAACCUGGGAACUGCAUCUGUGACUGCAUAGCUAGAGUACGGUAGAGGGGGAUGGAAUUCCGCGUGUAGCAGUGAAAUGCGUAGAUAUGCGGAGGAACACCGAUGGCGAAGGCAAUCCCCUGGACCUGUACUGACGCUCAUGCACGAAAGCGUGGGGAGCAAACAGG